rnacentral:rRNA from 1 species
UACGUAGGGAGCAAGCGUUGUCCGGAAUCAUUGGGCGUAAAGCGCACGUAGGCGGUCUGUUAUGUCGGAUGUGAAAGCCCUUGGCUCAACUGAGGAAGUGCAUCCGAAACUGGCAGGCUAGAGUACUAAAGAGGAUCGCGGAAUUCCCGGUGUAGAGGUGAAAUUCGUAGAUAUCGGGAGGAACACCAAUUGCGAAGGCAGCUCGCUGGGACGUAACUGACGCUGAGACGCGAAAGCGUGGGGAGCAAACAGG